rnacentral:rRNA from 1 species
CACGUAGGGUGCGAGCGUUGUCCGGAAUUAUUGGGCGUAAAGAGCUCGUAGGCGGUGUGUCGCGUCGGCCGUGAAAACCUGCAGCUUAACUGUGGGCUUGCGGUCGAUACGGGCAUCACUGGAGUUCGGCAGGGGAGACUGGAAUUCCUGGUGUAGCGGUGGAAUGCGCAGAUAUCAGGAGGAACACCGGUGGCGAAGGCGGAUCUCUGGGCCUUGCCUGACGCUGAGGCGCGAAAGCUAGGGGAGCGAACAGG